rnacentral:rRNA from 1 species
GACGAACGCUGGCGGCGUGCUUAACACAUGCAAGUCGAGCGAGGCCCCUCCUUCGGGAGGGUGUCCUAGCGGCGAACGGGUGAGUAACACGUGGGCAACCUGCCCUCAGCUCUGGGAUAACUCCGGGAAACCGGGGCUAAUACCGGAUACGACCUCCACGGGCAUCUGCGGAGGUGGAAAGUUUUUCGGCUGAGGAUGGGCCCGCGGCCUAUCAGCUAGUUGGUGGGGUAGUGGCCCACCAAGGCGGCGACGGGUAGCCGGCCUGAGAGGGCGACCGGCCACACUGGGACUGAGACACGGCCCAGACUCCUACGGGAGGCAGCAGUGGGGAAUAUUGCGCAAUGGGCGCAAGCCUGACGCAGCGACGCCGCGUGAGGGACGAAGGCCUUCGGGUUGUAAACCUCUUUCAGCAGGGACGAAGCGAAAGUGACGGUACCUGCAGAAGAAGCACCGGCCAACUACGUG